rnacentral:rRNA from 1 species
AGGUAAUAUUAUUUAAGAAACCUUUGUAUAAUGGCGGCUUACUUUCUAAUUAGAGGAACUCGUCGGUUAAUUGUAAGUACUCACUAAAUUUCACUAAAAUAAAUGUUUUUAUACCGCCGUCUUAAGAUUGAAUUUUACUAUUUUAUUCUAUACAGUACUUCUAGUAAGUCAGGUCAAGGUGAAGCUCACAUUUUAGGUCUAGAUGAGUUACAUAUUUUUAUAAAAAAAGGAAUUUUCAUUAAAUUUUAAAUAAAAGAGGAUUU